rnacentral:rRNA from 1 species
UACGAAGGGGGCUAGCGUUGUUCGGAAUUACUGGGCGUAAAGCGCACGUAGGCGGAUAUUUAAGUCAGGGGUGAAAUCCCAGAGCUCAACCCUGGAACUGCCUUUGAUACUGGGUAUCUUGAGUAUGGAAGAGGUGAGUGGAAUUCCGAGUGUAGAGGUGAAAUUCGUAGAUAUUCGGAGGAACACCAGUGGCGAAGGCGGCUCACUGGUCCAUUACUGACGCUGAGGUGCGAAAGCGUGGGGAGCAAACAGG